UAGGAUAAUAGUUAAUAAUAACAUUUAAUUUGCAUUUAAAAAUAGCUGAUUAUCAGCUUAUCUUAA
rnacentral:tRNA from 1 species